AACCAGACUCCUACGGGAGGCAGCAGUGGGGAAUAUUGCACAAUGGGGGAAACCCUGGUGCAGCAACGCCGCGUGAGUGAAGAAGUAUUUCGGUAUGUAAAGCUCUAUCAGCAGGGAAGAAGAUGACGGUACCUGAGUAAGAAGCCCCGGCUAACUACGUGCCAGCAGCCGCGGUAAUACGUAGGGGGCAAGCGUUAUCCGGAUUUACUGGGUGUAAAGGGAGCGUAGACGGUGAGACAAGUCUGAAGUGAAAGCCCGGGGCUCAACCCCGGGACUGCUUUGGAAACUGCCUGACUGGAGUGCUGGAGAGGCAAGCGGAAUUCCUAGUGUAGCGGUGAAAUGCGUAGAUAUCAGGAGGAACACCGGUGGCGAAGGCGGCCUGCUGGACUGCAACUGACGUUGAGGCCCGAAAGCGUGGGGAGCAAACAGGAUUAGAUACCCUAGUAAA
rnacentral:rRNA from 1 species